GUGAGGAAUAUUGCGCAAUGGAGGCAACUCUGACGCAGCCAUGCCGCGUGCAGGAAGAAGGCGCUACGCGUUGUAAACUGCUUUUAACCGGGAAGCAACCCCAGGACGUGUCCUGGGUUGACGGUACCGGAGGAAUAAGCACCGGCUAACUUCGUGCCAGCACCCGCGGUAAUACGAAGGGUGCAAGCGCUAUCCGGAUUCAUUGGGUUUAAAGGGUGCGUAGGCGGAGCGUUAAGUCAGUGGUGAAAUCCUGCAGCUUAACUGUAGACUUGCCAUUGAUACUGGCGCGCGUGAGUGCGGUUGAAGUGGGCGGAAUGUGCCGUGUAGCGGUGAGAUGCUUAGGUAUGGCACAGAACACCAAUUGCGAAGGCAGCUCACUAAGGCGAUACUGACGCUGAGGCACGAAAGCGUGAGGAUCGAACAGGAUUAGAUACCCCAGUAGUCC
rnacentral:rRNA from 1 species